GAGAGAGAGAGAGAGAGAGAGAGAGAGAGAGAGAGAGAGAGAGAGAGAGAGAGAGAGAAAUUUAUCAUUUUCUCUUUUUCUCGAGAUGUUAAAGAUUUCCGAGUGUAUGAUAUUUGAACAUGGAGGGUGCUUGUAGGCUAGUAUCGGCCAGUCUUGUGGAAUUUUGAUGAGGUUCAGGGAAGAUAAUUAGUAGAAGAUAAAUGGUCAUAUUUAUUGAAUUUUGUUUUGUUAAUAGGUAAAUAUAUUAUGGUUUGCUUUAA